rnacentral:rRNA from 1 species
AACGAACGCUGGCGGCGCGCCUAACACAUGCAAGUCGAACGAGAAUCCGGGGCAACCCGGUAGUAAAGUGGCAAACGGGUGAGGAAUACAUGGGUAACCUACCCUUGAGAAGGGAAUAACCCGCCGAAAGGUGAGCUAAUACCCUAUACGCUAUCUUUUUUUCGAAAAGGAUAGGAAAGCCGGGUCGAGGACCCUGGUACUCAAGGAGGGGCUCGAUGUCCUAUCAGCUUGUUGGUGGGGUAACGGCCUACCAAGGGCUAUGACGGGUAGCUGGUCUGAGAGGAUGAUCAGCCACACUGGCACUGAGAUACGGGCCAGACUCCUACGGGAGGCAGCAGUGAGGAAUAUUGCGCAAUGGGCGAAAGCCUGACGCAGCGACGCGCUGGGGAUGAAGUUUCGGAUUGUAAACCCUUUCAUGAGGAAGAUAAAGUGGGUAACCACUUAGACGGUACCUCAAGAAGAAGCCACGGCUAAC